AUCAUUCUCUCUACUAUUCUUCUGAAUUUCAAAUUUUUUAAUAAAGUGAUGAUCCUAACUGACCUAAAACAGGGACUUUUUUACUAGGAUUACAUGUCAGGAAUUGUGAAAAGGUGUAUGUAAACUUCCGACUUCAACUGUAUAUAUUCCCUCGAACUACUCGGAGACACUUUUGGAAAAAAGAAGCACUUUAACUUUAGGAUCGGACAUUUUGAGGAUCGUGAUUUUGGGACUAAGUACAUUACCCAUCCUGACAACCUGGCGCUAAUUUAGAAGCUUCUGGAAGCACCAUCCAAGCAAGAAAAUAAACACACCGCAGACUACAUGUACAUGUGAGUAUAAGUACAAUGUAAUUAAUAGGCGUUACACAGAAUUUAGUUUCGUAUUUCGUAUUUCUAU
rnacentral:lncRNA from 1 species